rnacentral:rRNA from 1 species
CUCGCAACCCGCACGCACGCACACGAGACACGACGACCAUAGAGUAGAGGCCAAUCUGCAGACUGCAGUGCACACACGCAGCCUCGUCUCCUCCGUUGGCAGCGGCAGCAGCAAGAGAAGAGGCGGCCGCCCCUCCCAGCCCCCAAAGAGCGAGUGAAGAGAAGAAGCAGAGCCGAAAUGAGGCGCCCCCUCCCCCUACUCCUCUCCUGACAAACCUCUCCCCCCUCCCCUCCCCUUGGUUCGUCCGCCCGUCUCGGACUCCACGGCCGCCCCGCCCCGCCCCGCCGCCCCACCGGUGCAGGGGAGGAUGGAUUUGUCCAGGUUCGCGUCUCCGCGCCCCCCGGGCCUGCAGAUCGGCGCCGCCGCCUCCCUCCGGGGGGCCUGCUCGCUGCGCCGACCCCGGCACAGAGGCGGAGUCCACGGCGGCCGGGGCGGGAACCUCAUGGUCGCCUCGGCCCUCCGCGGCUCAAGCAGCGGCCUCUUCUACGCCGCCCCGAACCACGCCCGUCUCCGGCUCACACGGACCGGGUCGGCGGGCUGCCAGGGCAACGACUCGCUGGCCUACGUGGACGGCCCGCUGGAGGGCACCAAGGGCAGCAGCAGCAGCUCCAGCGAGGGCAGCGACGAGGCGGCGGGGUCCGACGGCGAGGAGAGAGCCCGCAGUGCCGCUGCCGUCGACGUGGACGAUCUCAGGGACCUGCUGCACAAGGCCAGGAAGGAGCUGGAGGUGGCCAGGCUCAACAGCACCAUGUUCGAGGGCAAGGCGCAGCGCAUAUCCGAGUCGGCCAUCGCGCUCAAGGACCGUGCCGACAGCGCGCAGACCGAGGUGUCCGCCGCCGUGGCCACCGUGCAGGAGAUCAUCAGCAAGGAGGACGACGCCAAGGAGGCCGUCCGCAAGGCCACCAUGGCGCUCUCCAUGGCCGAGGCCCGGCUGCAGCUCGCCGCUGAGGCGCUGGACGCCAAGAGGGGCUCGGUCGGCCAGCUGGAGGUCAGCCUCGACGACGUCGAGGAGGAGGCGCUCGCGUCCGCCCAGGAGGAGAUCAAGGGGUGCCAGGCCAGCCUGUCAAAGUGCGAGGAGGAGCUCGGGCGGGUCCAGGGGAAGAAGAUGGAGCUGCAGAAGGAGGUCGACAGGCUGACCGAGCUCGCCGAGAGGGCUCUCCUGGACGCCUCCAAGGCCGAGGAGGAUGUUUCCAAUAUAAUGGUGUUGGCUGAGCAGGCCGUGGCUCUUGAGAUGGAAGCAGCCAAGCGCGUGAACGACGCGGAGCUGGCGUUACAGAAGGCGGAGAAGGCGGUCGAGUCCGUUGUGGAGCUGGUGCCGGCUGCUGAUGGGCACAUGAGUGACGAAGAGGACGAUCUUUCUGAUGUUUAUGACUAUAGCGGUGACGGCAUGGCUGACAUUUCUGAAAGGGAUGAGGUGUCAAAUGUCGAGCGUUUGAUGCAGAUUAGCGACUUGGCUGCUGAAGGCAUCGAGCCACUUGAACCGUCUAAUGAAAUGCCUGUUGAAGAACGCGGUGACAAGUUGCUUGUUGAGCCUCAGAAAGAAGCUGAACCUGACGUAGAUAAGUCAAAGCAAGGGAAGAAGCAGGAGUCUUCCAAAUCAUCGUUGAAGAGGUCAUCUCGUUUUUUCUCGGCGUCUUUCUUCUCCUCCAAAUCGGAUGGAGAAUUUACACCUACAUCUGUAUUCCGAGGGCUAAUGAAAUCAGCAAGAAAACAAGCACCAGCUCUUGUUGCCGGGAUACUGCUUCUUGGCGCAGGGGCAUUCUUCUUCAAUAGAGCUGAGAAGAAUAGUCAAUUGUUUCAGCAGCCAGGCAUAACCACCACAAGUAUUGAAGAAGUUACCUCCACUGCAAAGCCCAUAGUUCGCGAGAUUCGGCAGUUACCACAAAGAAUAAAAAAGCUAAUCGAGCUCUUACCUCAUCAAGAGGUAAAUGAGGAAGAAGCUUCGCUUUUUGACGUACUAUAUUUGCUGCUGGCCAGUGUUGUUUUUGUACCAUUAUUCCAGAAAAUACCUGGAGGUAGUCCUGUUCUUGGAUAUCUUGCUGCUGGUGUCCUCAUUGGUCCCUAUGGUCUUUCUAUCAUCCGCAAUGUCCAUGGAACAAAGGCAAUUGCUGAAUUUGGAGUCGUGUUCUUGUUAUUUAACAUUGGCCUUGAGCUUUCUGUGGAAAGGUUAAGUUCGAUGAAGAAGUAUGUCUUUGGAUUAGGCUCUGCUCAGGUGUUGGUUACUACAGCAGUUGUUGGUCUGGCAGCUCACCGUUUUGCAGCACUACCAGGACCAGCGGCAAUUGUUGUUGGGAGUGGUUUGGCUCUAUCAUCCACAGCUGUCGUCUUGCAAGUACUACAAGAACGUGGGGAGAGCACAUCACGGCAUGGACGCGCCACAUUUUCUGUGCUACUUUUCCAGGAUCUGGCCGUGGUGGUUCUGUUGAUAUUGAUCCCACUCAUAUCACCUAAUUCUUCAAAAGGAGGGGUUGGGUUCCAAGCAAUAUUGGAAGCUAUGGGAAUGGCUGCGGUAAAGGCAAUAGCUGCUAUAACUGCCAUCAUUGCUGGAGGUCGUUUGUUCCUUCGGCCAAUUUACAGGCAAAUUGCUGAAAAUCGGAAUGCUGAGAUAUUUUCAGCAAAUACUCUCCUUGUUAUAUUUGGGACAAGUCUUCUUACUGCUCGGGCUGGCUUAUCGAUGGCACUGGGAGCAUUUUUGGCUGGUUUGUUGUUAGCAGAAACAGAGUUCUCCUUGCAGGUUGAGUCGGAUAUUGCUCCUUACCGUGGCCUUCUGUUAGGUCUAUUCUUUAUGACGGUUGGAAUGUCUAUUGACCCAAAGCUGUUUCUGUCAAACUUCCCAGCAGUCUCUUUGAUAUUAGGUCUCUUAAUUAUUGGAAAGACACUGUUAGUAACAUUUAUUGGUAGAGUGUUUGGAGUUUCCACCAUAGCUGCUGUUCGGGUUGGUCUUUUGCUUGCACCUGGUGGGGAGUUUGCUUUUGUUGCCUUUGGAGAAGCCGUUAACCAGGGUCUUCUAUCGCCUCAAUUAUCGUCAUUAUUAUUUUUGGUGGUUGGCCUUUCAAUGGCUAUGACACCAUAUUUAGCUGCUGGAGGGCAGUUUCUAGCAUCAAAAUUUGAGCAGCAUGAUGUCAGGAGUUUAUUGCCAGUGGAAAGUGAGACGGAUGACUUGCAAGGCCAUAUUAUUAUUUUGGGAUUUGGACGUGUUGGGCAGAUCAUCGCCCAACUCCUGUCAGAACGGUUAAUUCCAUUUGUUGCGCUUGAUGUUCGAAGUGAUCGGGUGGCAGUUGGGCGCGCACUUGAUCUACCAGUAUAUUUCGGUGAUGCAGGAAGCAGAGAGGUACUGCACAAAGUUGGAGCUGAGAGGGCAUGUGCUGCUGCCAUUACUUUAGAUACUCCUGGUGCAAACUAUAGAGCUGUAUGGGCUCUGAGCAAAUACUUCCCAAAUGUGAAGACAUUUGUCAGAGCACAUGAUGUUGAUCAUGGUGUUAAUUUGGAGAAAGCUGGUGCAUCAGCGGUUGUCCCUGAGACCUUAGAACCAAGUCUUCAAUUGGCUGCUGCUGUUCUUGCUCAAGCAAAACUUCCAAUGUCCGAGAUUGCAACAACGAUCAACGAGUUCAGGAAUCGUCAUUUGUCAGAGCUAACGGAGCUUUGUUCUACAAGUGGGAGCUCCCUAGGCUACGGCUUCUCUCGAGUCAUGUCGAAAACGAAGCCUGUGGUCUCUGACGACGAGAGCGACACCAUUGAUGGAGCCCUGGCGAUCUGAGCCCACUACGCGAACGUAAAAGGCUCCGCCUCCCUUGUCCUCCUCCCAGGGCUGUACAGUAGAUGUGUUCGCGUAUAGAAAGUACAACAGAUCCGGGACAUACCUGUUGGGUGCUGCCUUGGCCUGGUGGUCGAGGAUGGAGAAGUGGAAAGCACUAGCACCAGCAGCACAACAAGGACCAUAGAGGGAUGCAACUGAGCUAGUUCGAUGCCAAGCUCGACGAGGAACUUCUCCGCGAAGGGGCGCAUAGGAAUGCAGGCAAACACUCAAUGGAGUCCGGGUGCCGCUCUCCCGAGAAGUGACGCUCUUCUUCUUUUUUUUUUUUUUUUUUUGAGGGAAAGAAGUGACGCUCUUCUGGGUCAAGGAGGACCCCCGUACCAGUAGGGAAGCAUCCCAUGGGCUUUAGAGGGCUGAGGUCGUUGGCAUCCAUAGAGGACGGAUUAAGGUCACUCUCCGGCUCAUCCAUCC